GACACUAUGGCAGGCCAACUUACUAGCUUUCAAGUAAGGUAACAUCUCAGACCAUCAUAGGUUUUGACAGGGGAAACUCUGAAGGACCACAGGAGUUGGAGGUUCCACGUAUCUCUAAGUAGUAACAUACGAUGGGUCCAAAACAGAAGAAAGAGAACUCAAGAUUCCCGAGCCACAGAGCUGUUGAUUGGAGGCUGACUCAGAGAAACCCUGGAUUCAGUGACAUACAGAGACAACAGGUACAGGAUCAGUAUGGGUUUUAAUUGAGGGGCUCGGCACCAAAUGACAGACUUGACACAUCCACCCCCACCAUGGAUGCUGUCCGUCCACUGUUGCACAAUGUCCUUCAGUGUCUAAUUUACAGAUCCAGCUGUAUUUCCCCUUCCACCUGCAUCCCUGAAGUUCCUCCCACCUGAAAACUUCACCUGACCCAAGAAAGCAAAGGAAAAAACCCGGAGAGCCAGCUCAUAGUCUGGUUCACUGUUUAACAGCCAGAAGCCAGAGCCUGCGUACUAGAAGUGGAUGCCCAGGAAGUACUUGUGAGCUGACUAAGAAUUCAAUGGAGGACCAGCCCUGUAAGAUUUGGAAGUGCA
rnacentral:lncRNA from 1 species